rnacentral:lncRNA from 1 species
CAGCAGAAUACGUGAAGAAUGCUUUGACUCCUUGCUAAGAAAACAAACUGAGUACAGAAUGGUCAGAAUAUUUGAAGGGACGUCACCAAAGAAGACAUAGAGCAGGAAGUAAGCCCACGUAAAGAUGCGCACAGCCACGCAUUAUGAUAUUAAUUCAAACCACAGCAAGGUACCACUAUGCCCAUGAGGUUAUAUUGGACUGAAAAGACCAAGAAUACCAGUAAAGGUGAGGAGCCAUUGAACUCUCACGCACAGCAGGUGAGACUGCAAAAUGGUAUAGUCUCUCUGGAAAACAUUUCUUUCAUAAAGUUAAGCAUACAGUGAACUUGAAACCCAGUAAUUCCACUUCUAGUAUUUACUCAAGAGAAUAAAAACAUAUGUCUAUAUACAGACCUGUAGGUGAAUGUCCAUAGCACCUUCAUUGAUAAUAACCCCAAACUGGAAAGAACCCAAAUCACCAUCAGUUGGUGAAUGGUAUAAAAAAAAUGGGGUAUGUCCAUACAAUGGAAUACUACUGAGCAGUGAAAAGGAAUGAACUAAUUCAUGCAAUGACAUGAAUACAUCACAAAAGAAGUUUGUUAACUGAAAGAAGCAAGGCUCUUUGCAUGUCUGUUUACAUGACAUUCUAGAAGCAAAAUUAUCUGGAUAGAAAGCAGAUCUGUGGUUGCCUGGAACCAUGGGGUAGAGGGAGGAGAGUGACUGCACAGGGCCUGGAAGAGUCCUAUGGGGCAAUGGAAAUGUUCUCUAGCAUGACAGCAAUGCUGGUCACUGUCAUGACUCAUCAAAUUGUAUGUCUGAAAGUGGCAACAUUUGGUGUUACAGUUUAGGUAUUGAAUGUCCCCCCAAAGAUUGUUCCCCAGGGUGGUGUUAUUGAGAGGUGUGGGACAUUUGAGAGGUGGGGUCUGGUGAGAGGUUCUCAGGUCACUGGGGAAGGUACCCUUUAAGGGAAUCAUGGAACCCCACUCUCUCAGUCUCUCUGUACUAUCUGGCUAAUGAUGUAAGUGCUUGCUCUGCCACAUGCUCAUGCUAUAGUGUGCCUGCCACCCUCAUCACAGGCCCAAGGCAAUGAGGUUGCUCCAUUUUGGACUGGAACUUCCAGAAUCAUGAGCCCCACAAAUAACCCUUUUUGCUUUAUAAGUGGCUUACCUCAGGUAUUUUGUUAUCAUGAUGUGAAGCUGGCUAAUACAUGCUGCAUGCAAAAUAUACUUCAAUAAAAC